GGAGUUAGCCGGUGCUUCUUCUGUGAGUGAUGUCCUUCCUGCCGGCUAUUAACCCGCAGGCCUUCUUCCUCACUGAAAGUGCUUUACAACCCGAAGGCCUUCUUCACACACGCGGCAUGGCUGGAUCAGGGUUGCCCCCAUUGUCCAAUAUUCCCCACUGCUGCCUCCCGUAUGAGUCUGGGCCGUGUCUCAGUCCCAGUGUGGCUGAUCAUCCUCUCAGACCAGCUACGGAUCGUCGCCUUGGUGAGCCGUUACCUCACCAACCAGCUAAUCCGACAUAGGCUCAUCCGAUAGCGCGAGGCCCGAAGGUCCCCCGCUUUCCCCCGUAGGGCGUAUGCGGUAUUAGCCUGGGUUUCCCCAGGUUAUCCCCCACUACCGGGCAGAUUCCUAUGCAUUACUCACCCGUCCGCCGCUCGCCACCAGGGAGCAAGCUCCCCGUGCUGCCGCUCGACUUGCAUGUGUUAGGCCUGCCGCCAGCGUUCAAUCUGAGCCAUGAUCAAACUCUGA
rnacentral:rRNA from 1 species